rnacentral:rRNA from 1 species
UACAGAGGUCUCAAGCGUUGUUCGGAUUCAUUGGGCGUAAAGGGUGCGUAGGUGGCGCGCUAAGUCAGGUGUGAAAUCUCGGGGCUUAACUCCGAAACUGCAUUUGAUACUGGCGUGCUUGAGGACUGGAGAGGAGACUGGAAUUCAUGGUGUAGCAGUGAAAUGCGUAGAGAUCAUGAGGAAGACCAGUGGCGAAGGCGAGUCUCUGGACAUUUCCUGACGCUGAGGCACGAAAGCUAGGGGAGCAAACAGG